rnacentral:rRNA from 1 species
GAUGAACGCUAGCGGCAGGCUUAAUACAUGCAAGUCGAGGGGCAGCAGUUUUGUAGCAAUACAGAAGCUGGCGACCGGCAAACGGGUGCGGAACACGUACGCAACCUUCCUCUAACUGGGAGAUAGCCCACCGGAAGGUGGAUUAAUACUCCAUAACAUAUUGAAGAGGCAUCUUUUUGAUAUUAAAGCUCCGGCGGUUAAAGAUGGGCGUGCGUCUGAUUAGGUAGUUGGCGGGGUAACGGCCCACCAAGCCUUCGAUCAGUAGCUGAUGUGAGAGCAUGAUCAGCCACACGGGCACUGAGACACGGGCCCGACUCCUACAGGAGGCAGCAGUAAGGAAUAUUGGUCAAUGGACGCAAGUCUGAACCAGCCAUGCCGCGUGGAGGAUGAAGGCCCUCUGGGUUGUAAACUUCUUUUCUUUGGGACGAAACCCCUGUUUCUACGGGGACUGACGGUACCAGAGGAAUAAGCACCGGCUAACUCCGUGCCAGCCGCCGCAGUAAGAC